CAGUUUCAAACUAGUGGCGAUAAAUGGGCAUUGACCAUCAAAGUUAUGAAUGCCUGGUGGAAAAUGCGGAAGAAGUCUUUGAAGAUUGGCGGCACAAAGUGCUCUCUCUGUCAAUGGGGACAGUCCUCUUCAUGACUCAUUUAACUUGCAAUUGGAACGGAUUUGCGGUGGGAAACAAAGUGGUGAUGGAUUCUGUUCACCUGGUAUGGAGAAGCGGCAGAUAUUUUUGAUGUGUCGUCAAUCGUUCGCGGUUCGUUUGUUGCCUGUUUGAUGAUUGGUUGUUGGCCAAGUUUGUUUGCCAGCUGUUUGUUUCUUUCAGCCAUCCAUUCAUUCUCUUGACCCCAAUUGAUUUGUUGAAUUGGAGAAGCCAUAACUAAAUGGUAAGUUGACUUAUUGAGGCUUGGAAAAAAUCUCUUCAAGUUCUAUUGUUCACAAAUUGUUUUGGCCACAGGCAAUCAAAUAUUACAAUUUCCCCGCUACAUUUGUAUUACGAUGCUGUGAACCUUAAUUGGCUUUUUGAAGCUGUUUUCAUUAGAGCUGAGAGUUAUGCUUAUUGACAAUUUGUUUGCAUUA